rnacentral:rRNA from 1 species
GUGGGGAAUAUUGGACAAUGGGGAGAACCCUGAUCCAGCCAUGCCGCGUGUGUGAAGAAGGCCUUUUGGUUGUAAAGCACUUUAAGCGAGGAGGAGGCUACCGAGAUUAAUACUCUUGGAUAGUGGACGUUACUCGCAGAAUAAGCACCGGCUAACUCUGUGCCAGCAGCCGCGGUAAUACAGAGGGUGCAAGCGUUAAUCGGAUUUACUGGGCGUAAAGCGCGCGUAGGUGGCCAAUUAAGUCAAAUGUGAAAUCCCCGAGCUUAACUUGGGAAUUGCAUUCGAUACUGGUUGGCUAGAGUAUGGGAGAGGAUGGUAGAAUUCCAGGUGUAGCGGUGAAAUGCGUAGAGAUCUGGAGGAAUACCGAUGGCGAAGGCAGCCAUCUGGCCUAAUACUGACACUGAGGUGCGAAAGCAUGGGGAGCAAACAGGAUUAGAUACCCGUGUAGUCC